rnacentral:rRNA from 1 species
GGUAGUUACUAAACCAUUAUGUGCUGGCGGUCUUUAAAUAUUAGAGAAACUCGCUUUAUAAUCGUAAAUACUCGUUAAUUUUGACUUAAUUAAACUUAGCCUAUAUACCGCCGUUUAGAAUUAAUUUACUUUAAAAUUCCAUAAAUAAAAUAAAAAAUCAGGUCAAGGUGUAGCCAAUAAUUAAGAAAAAGUAAGUUACAUUAAAAAUAAUUUAAGAAUAUAAAAUAAAAAUUAAUUUGAAAGAGAAUUUAUUUGUACUUUCUAAUUAACAAUUAGAAUAGAAAUAAAUAUUAAAGAUGC